UCCAUAUCAAGGUUAGGUAGUCUCUCUUUCUUCCUAGUACAACUCACGUGACACUAAAUUUCCUUGUGUUUUAAUGCUUAUUUGCAUAUGAGGUACGAUUUCCAUCAAAAUUGUUUAGAUUUGUUUCGUUGUUUUGACUGUAUGAAAAAUUAACUUAUCCAAUUCGAUUUAGUGAUUAGGGACUAUAGUGAUAUUUUCCCACUCAUCCCUGGAAAGUAAAUAAUUACUUGUUUUUUUUAAUAUGAACAGGUUGAUAAUAUUUACUUAAAAAAGAGAAUACUUUUGCUGAUUCUACAUGGGUAAUAUUGUGUCCUUUAUCUUUUUCUUUGAUCUAUAAUUAAACCCACUUUCUAAAUCUGCGUAUUAAUACUCGAACAAGUUACCAGAAUCAUAUAUGUAUAAACAAGAUUGUAAAAUUAUGUAACUUCCAAUAUACAUAAUACAACCGAAAUAUUAAUGAACUUCUUGUAGAAUCCAAAAUAGUUUAAUUAGAAUACUCACUGAAUUUCUUGUUAUCACUCGUCUUAUAUUUUCACUUCAAAAUAAUAUUGUAUUGUAAUAAUAAUAAUAGAUUUAUAGAGGGAGCUAGGGAGAAUAAUAAAGUAAAUUAAAGGGGAAGUGAUGAAUUUUCCCGUUACCGCUAGUUGAAAAUAGUUUUGCGGGGAAAUAAUAUAAUGCACAUGCAAUGGCGAUCCAAUCCCUUUGAUUACAAGAUCACACACCAAUCCACAUCUUGUUGCUGACUAGCUCUCGCAAACAAACAAAAAUCUACACAGAUGGAUGAAUUAAUGUGCAUCUAGUCGUUUGGAAUAAUUAUAUACUAAAAUUACUGACUCGAAUGACUUUGAUCUUUUAGUGAGUCUUUUUUAAAAAAAUUUCUUAUCGUACAUAUGGGAUUUUGUAAGUUAUCAGAAAUAUGUGAGGGCGUUCCACUCGACGGGCAUUCAUAAUGGCACAUUUAGAUGUUGUCUUUUAACAUACAACUCCUUAUUAACUCGAACAAAAUCGCAUAAAGUAAUAAUCGGGAAAGAGAAAUAAGUACACGCAUAAAGUGGAGAAAAGAGGGGUCGAAAGGGAAGAAGGUGCAGGGUGCAGACAGGUAGCUAGUAAGGUUGCGUGGCAGCAAGAUGGAGUAUAUUUAUGAAGGCAUGACGAAGCCCUGUAGUUGAAAACGGGAAGUGAACCAAGGACAGAACACUGCACUCUAGCUUCCUAGGCGAAGGGUAAAACAAAACAUAACAAUAAAUAUAACAACACCUGUCGUGGUUUUGAUGCCAUGGAUAUCAAAACCCACCAUUCCCAACUAGGUCAACACCAUCAACUGAAAUUAUUAAUAUGUUGUUUACAGAAGAUGGAUCUACGUUCUACAAAAUUUUACCCUUAUAAGACAGUGGCCGACAAGGUAUUCAUACCUCCACAUGUUUAAAUGUAACAGAUUUUCUCAACUUUGAUGUGUUCAUCUUUUAAAAAGACUUCUAGCAUAACCUUUUUUUUUAUAUCUACGUCUAUAAUAAUGAUUAUAUAUUUUCAGAUUUUAAAUUUUACCACCCCUACAUAAUUGUCCUUUUAAAUAUUUAAUUUAUAUUUGUAAGAUUUUAACCAAUUAAAUUUUAUUUUAAUAUCCCUCUUAUUUUAAUUUACUUAAUUUAUAUUCCCCUAACUUUUUUAUUUAAUUAAUAUCUGUUACAUACGAACUUGAAUUUGAAUAAUUUUUGCGCUAAAAAUUUAGUUUUUCGAAGACGAUUAAAAAAAUACAAAUCAUGAUAUAGUUUCGACGAACUUUUGCUUUGAUGUCAAACACGUGAGACGAUUAAAAACUAAAGAUUGACAUAAGAAUAACAACGUUAUGAGGAUUUACUAUCAACUAUGUUCGAUUACCUUUAUUUUUUUACAUAUAUAUGCUUAUCGGGUCUAAGUGUUACAUAUAUAUGCUUAUCGGGUCUAAGUGUUACAUAUAUAUGCUUAUCGGGUCUAAGUGUUACAUAUAUAUGCUUAUCGGGUCUAAGUGUUACAUAUAUAUGCUUAUCGGGUCUAAGUGUUACAUAUAUAUGCUUAUCGGGUCUAAGUGUUACAUAUAUAUGCUUAUCGGGUCUAAGUGUUACAUAUAUAUGCUUAUCGGGUCUAAGUGUUACAUAUAUAUGCUUAUCGGAAUAGCAAGCGCAUGAAAAACCAAAAGUGACACAUCAACUUUUACUACAAUCUGGUGUUGCCCCACUGAAACUAAGUAAAUUAAAAUACAUUAUUAUAGAUAUUGUAACAUUAAAUUAGAUGAUUGAUUAUAAACACUUGUUCUCUCGGUAUAUUAAGAUUGAACCUAAUAACUAGAUUUUAAAAAGAUAAAAUUUAUAUGUGUCCGCCAAACAAGAUAAAAUACUACUUCAAAUNNNNNNNNNNNNNNNNNNNNNNNNNNNNNNNNNNNNNNNNNNNNNNNNNNNNNNNNNNNNNNNNNNNNNNNNNNNNNNNNNNNNNNNNNNNNNNNNNNNNNNNNNNNNNNNNNNNNNNNNNNNNNNNNNNNNNNNNNNNNNNNNNNNNNNNNNNNNNNNNNNNNNNNNNNNNNNNNNNNNNNNNNNNNNNNNNNNNNNNNNNNNNNNNNNNNNNNNNNNNNNNNNNNNNNNNNNNNNNNNNNNNNNNNNNNNNNAUUUCACUCGAUAUACUUGAAAAAAAUAAAAAAAAUACAUGAUAGAUUCAAAAUCAUGUUUUUUAAAAUAACAAUUAUUGGAAAUGGAUUUAUAUGGCGUUCUGUACGAUAAUAAUUAUAUUCGGACAAGUAGUAUUAAUAAUGAUUGUCCCAGUGUAUGCCCCUGUAUAUGGACUAUUCAUGUUCAUUAUUGGGAUGUAUUUGCUUCAUGGUGAAUGCUAAAGUUGUGCAGUGUAAACAGUUAUACUGCCUUCUUAAUCAUUCAUUAUUUAACACUGUAAUUCAGUUUUUUGUCUAAUCAGUUGAUUCAAUCAAUUAACAUUUAUUCACUAUUACUCAUAUCAUCAACUGUUAAGAUGACGCUGUUUUUUGGAGUUACUCUAACUAUAAAGUCGUAGGUUGAAGAUUUGAAGAUUCUAACACACUUCACGAAAUAAAUACCAUUGUAAUGUUCAGUUAUGUUUUUUUUAUUUUGUACGAACAAUAUUUACCUAGAAAAAAUUCUAUUAGCAUAGUUUUCCAAAUUUGAAUGUAGAAAUUGGUACAUAUAAAAGUAACCAUUUUUUCCUGUUUUCUGAUUAAUAAUUUAAUAUAGAUUUUGUUCCAUGCCCUUGAUUUCCCUAGGGGGAUAAAAUGCCAACCAUCUCUGGUUUGCUUCUUCCAAAAUGUUCCAAACCAAACAUUUCGGCAGAGUCUCAUGGAUUCUGGAAAGCAGAGAUCGUAGGCAAUUUAAACUUACAGGGAGCAUAUAGAAUCUUUUAUUUUCUAGCCAUCGGAAUUCAGCUAUAGUAGUGCUAGUGCAUCACGAUGCUAAGCCAAUACGGAAAUGUAACUUCUUCCUCUGGCUAGCUAGUAGCGAGAUGGAAUCAUGCCGUUAAGAUCUGCAGACGAAGCUGGAUAUUGGUGACUGAAACUCUUGUGAUCUUCUUCUACAUCUACUCUGCUCUUCUUCUUUGUCCGAUGAGUCGGCUCUGGCGAAGAAGAGACAGAGGAAGAUGCAGAGGUGGUGGAAUCGUUGGAGCUAUCUGAACAGAAGCUCAAAUCCAUCACCCCAUUCGGGCUCCCCGGAAUCGAAUCCAAUGUCCUUCGCUUCUUCGAUUGAUGGAUGUUACCAUUUCCGCUUCCUGACGUUGUCAAUUCCAUUAUCAGCUCCCUGCAACCUUCCAUCUUUUCCUGCAUUCACAAUAUCCGGACCGGAAUUCAGAUUCCGUCCCACACCAAAAAUCAUCACGACAAUAAAGAAACUAACUACAUUAUACAUACCAAGUCGAUUUCCAGAACUGCCAACAACUUGGAUCGUUCCGUCCCAACAGAAGAAGAAUCAAUGUUGUUGAUUACAUGAAACAUCGUUGCCGCAGCCACUACUGAUGGCAGAUAACACAAUGACCUACAAUCUGCAAAUCGGAAAUUAUAAUGAGUUGAAUAAUAUAAGCAUAAUGUAAUUUUUGAAGUCUAUGAUGUUAUUUGCUUGCCUGAGACGAGGGAGACGAUGAUGAGCUCGCACCGUGAGACGAAUUCCCAGCAGAGAGAGCUCCCAAGCCCCAUCCUCCUGGUCAUGAAAUCGAGAAAGGAUAAUGGGGUAACAGGGUUCAUCCUCCAUUUGAGAGAAGAGAGCACCAGAAUCUCCAUUCUCUGUAUCGUCUUGGGUUCGAAAACAUACCUACACUCUUCUGCGACCUAAAAACAAAAAAGAAGGAAAUCGUUUAGGGACAAAUCAAUACAAGGAAGGAAACUCUUAGAUCGGCGAGUUAAUAAACCACCUGAAGGUCGAAGAGAAGAGGGACAUGGGUCUCCUCAACCUUAGCAGCGACGGAGAGGCAGGCGACGGCUGCGAGUUGAGUCAUCCACGGCUUGUCGGUCUGAAGAUGGAAAGUAACGAGGAAUCUGUCGAGGUAAUUGAGAGCCAAAACGGCGGUGAGGGUGGAGAAGGAGAAAUGGGUAUUGACGUUAAGGAUCCAAUCUGCAGCUUCGUGACGAGCUCUACCCAGAUUAGGUCGAGAAUGGAGCUCCCUGAACAAAGGGUUCUUCUCUUGUUUGGCGAACAGAGAUGUGAGUUCAUCCUCUUCCCAAAAGAACAAGUCUUUUUGCUGCUUAUCGUUAACAUCAGUAUUAUUAUCAUGAGUAGGGUGAGUGAGAGCUUCGGAGCAAUAGAGGUCGUCGUCAUGAAGAAAGGGUGGUGGGUUUGCCAUCUUCUUCUGAUGGGAAGAAGAGGUCUGGAUCUUGGUUCAUUAUUUGCAGGGAAAGAGAAGAGCUUUGUUUCCGGAUUGAAUCGCCAUUUUCUAGAGAGAGCUCUUUGCUGUUGGGUUGGGGGGUGGAUUUGGUAAGGGGUCGAUAUCGGAAGGAGGAAAAGAGGGAAGUGGAGAGUGAGCAGUGGAGCUUUAGGUGUCUGGGGGAGUGUUCUUAUUUGUGGGGGUUUGGAGGGGGGGGACUCUCUCUGAGUUNNNNNNNNNNNNNNNNNNNNNNNNNNNNNNNNNNNNNNNNNNNNNNNNNNNNNNNNNNNNNNNNNNNNNNNNNNNNNNNNNNNNNNNNNNNNNNNNNNNNNNNNNNNNNNNNNNNNNNNNNNNNNNNNNNNNNNNNNNNNNNNNNNNNNNNNNNNNNNNNNNNNNNNNNNNNNNNNNNNNNNNNNNNNNNNNNNNNNNNNNNNNNNNNNNNNNNNNNNNNNNNNNNNNNNNNNNNNNNNNNNNNNNNNNNNNNNNNNNNNNNNNNNNNNNNNNNNNNNNNNNNNNNNNNNNNNNNNNNNNNNNNNNNNNNNNNNNNNNNNNNNNNNNNNNNNNNNNNNNNNNNNNNNNNNNNNNNNNNNNNNNNNNNNNNNNNNNNNNNNNNNNNNNNNNNNNNNNNNNNNNNNNNNNNNNNNNNNNNNNNNNNNNNNNNNNNNNNNNNNNNNNNNNNNNNNNNNNNNNNNNNNNNNNNNNNNNNNNNNNNNNNNNNNNNNNNNNNNNNNNNNNNNNNNNNNNNNNNNNNNNNNNNNNNNNNNNNNNNNNNNNNNNNNNNNNNNNNNNNNNNNNNNNNNNNNNNNNNNNNNNNNNNNNNNNNNNNNNNNNNNNNNNNNNNNNNNNNNNNNGGAAAUGUUUUUUGUGGCAUAGAAUUUUAGUCAAUUGUGACAGAAGAAGAUGGUUAACGUUGUAUUUGAUAGUCAACUUAAUGGUCAAGUUCAACAUUGAUGAUGUAUCUUCGAAUUUGUCUUACACGGAAGCUCCACGUCAUAAAUAAUAAUUUUUUAUUGCAUCCAUAAAAUUACCGAAAAUAAAAAAUAAAAAACCCAAACAUCUCCUCCGUCGCAUCGGAUAAAUCUCCAGGAAAAAAAAAACAUUCUUCUAAAUAAUUGAUUCUCUUUUCUUUGCAACCCAAGAUCAUUGAUUCUCUUUGCUUUUCUAGAACAUUCUUCAGCAAUUCAAAAUCAUCAACUCUCUUCAUUUUCUAAUAUAUUCUUCUGAAUGUAUCCACUUUACCCUGAAAUAAGAGCUCUACAUCUGAAAUCAGAAAAAAUCUAAACAACUAUAUAAGCGAAUAUAGCAUAAACUUCCUACCAUAUAAGCUUUUGAGGGCCUUCCCCACACACUUAGCAGCCGUUAUUUUUUUUUUAACCUCAAUUAACAUCCCUCUUCUAUAGGCUUGACAAUAUUAUUCGAUCGGAGCGGGAAAUACCCAUAUUAAACAGGUUAUGGGGUACAGAGAAUACCCACUAUAAAUGAACGGGGACUGGUCGAGGAUGGGUUUAGGUACCCCGCCAUACCCAUACCCAUAUCCUGCCCAAUAUAUAAAACUACUCUACAACCCUUAUUUAAUAAUUACCAAAUUAAUCAUAAACCUAUAAUCUCUAAUUUUAUUUCCAAUUUAAAGCGACUUCAUAUUAUAACAAAUGUUUAAAAUUCAUAGUAAAUGUUUUAUACAUCAAUAUUUAACUUCACCUUGCCAUCUAAUUUUAAAUUUCAUGCAUCUUAAUAAUGUAUAAAUCUAUUAGAAGACUAUUAUUAUUUUUAAUUACCAAUGAAGAUAUUUUAACAUAUUUUUAAGUUCUUAUAUAUUUUCAGCCUUUUAAUGGUAACUAUUUUGAAAAUGUUAAUUUUAAGUACAACAAGUAAAGUGCACUUUUCUUUACCUCAUUCUACUAAUCUCUUCCUUAUUUGUGGUAUGUAUUCAUUAACUCAGGCAUCAAUUAAAUGUAUUCUUUUCCAAAUNNNNNNNNNNNNNNNNNNNNNNNNNNNNNNNNNNNNNNNNNNNNNNNNNNNNNNNNNNNNNNNNNNNNNNNNNNNNNNNNNNNNNNNNNNNNNNNNNNNNNNNNNNNNNNNNNNAAUAAUACAUUAAUACAUGUAUAUCUAUUUUUACUUUUAAAUAUACAUUUUUGUCACAAUGUUUUAUUUUUCAUGUUAAAUAUUUAAAGUUACAUUAAAUUUUAAAGUAAAAUGUACAUUAAUGCAUGUAUUUCUAUCGUUCCUUUUAGAUAUAAAAUUUAAUAAGAACAUUUUAUUUCCCGGAUUUCUUAAGUCAAGUAUUUAAAGAAAUCAGAUUUUAAAAUAAAUAAUAUAUUGAUGCAUAAUUUAUUAUGGAUACCGAUAAUGGCAAAUGACUAAUAUACAUUUUUAACAUUCCUCCAAAUAUAUAUAUCUCUAAAAAGUUUAAGAAUUAAAUGAUUUCGUGAUUAAAAUAAAGAAAAAGAUUGACCUGCUAAUCAGAAUCGGGUAAAAACCAGAAAGAGAAAACAAAAAAAAUUAACAAACUUUGAUUUGAAUAUUUACCUUGAGUAGGAACAAUGCGGUAGGCAUGCCCAAGAGCUAGAGUAUGAGUAGGCCUGAAAAGCUUAACUCGAGUGAACUGAAUUAUUGGCGGCUACAAAUUCUAAUCUACCGGCAAAGAAGAAUCUUGAGAAGGAAGUGGAUGAUGAGAGAAACGUAAUGACCAGAGUUUGGAGUCAUAAUUUCGCUGACGAGUACAAACCAGUACAUCCUUUCAAUUUUUCCGCAUGAAUGCUAAAAUGGAGGGGGAGGUAAGAUUGGAGGUGGAAGAGAGCGGAGGUGAGUGAGAGGAGUCAAUGAUGAAAACUAUAACAGUUUUUAUAAAAAAGAAUCAAAAUCUAAGUUUGUAAGAGCUUAAGAGUCUAAAGAUAAGGGUACGAGUAGGGAAAAUCUAAUGAUGGUGAAAGAUCAUGGUCCACAUUCGGAUAUUUGGGGCACAUCUUUGCCCUUGUGAUGGACCUACAUGUUGUUUUUAGUAGUGUUUUGUGGCCACGUGUCAACAUUUUAGCUAUAAUCCUCAAAUUUCCGAAGAAAUAUGAAAAGUCAAUUGACAACAUCUUUUCGUAUUUGAUCCGAAAGAUCGACGACGAUUCGGUUAGAGCUGGUAAAUGGGUAGUACUAAAAGAUCGAUAUAUGAGAGGGAGGUUAUUGGGUUAUUCCACAUUAAAAAGGGUUGAAUGUUGUUUACAAGUGUGAGGAAAACCUCAUCAUUCGAGCUAACUUUUUAAGGUGACAAGACUCAAUAACAUCCAACAUCUUUUACAAUAAAUAGUAAACCGUAAACAAUAACUCUAACAUCCUAAACACUAAAUAAAAAAACACUAGAUUAUAACCUAAUCAUGGUGUUUUUCCAUGACAUGGUCAUAUAAUAAUGCCUAACAAGUAAUCCAUCUCUCUCUAUAUAUGGUAAUGAUUGAAGAGGAGCAAUAUGGAAACUGAAAGAUCACAAAUUGACAUUAGUGAUCUAGCUAAUAGAAUAAGGUACAUAUAGGACAAUGCAAAGGCUGACCAACUACUGUAAAUUAGUACACUACUUCUUCCACUCUUUUGAUUUUUUUUCCAGACAAAAGUAUCAAAAAGUCGUUGCGGGCUGUUGCUCCUAACCAAGCGUCGUGAUUUCUAUAUGAUGAUCUUCUUGUUUGCUAGCAAUUACGUAGUGGCCAGUGAUUACAGUUUCGAGCUAUAUGUUGGUUACUGUGUGAAGUCAAAGAGAAUAGGUAUACGGGGAAGUGGAAAAUGCGUGGACGUGAGAGUAUUUUGUUAGGCUAAUGAGUUAUUUAAUGUGGUAUUUGAUGAUGAAAAUGUCAUAUUUUCGAAAUAUCACGAUAUUUCAAAUAUUUGGAGGGUGAAAUGAGUUAUUUUAAAUACGAUAAUUCGAAAUGUCAUAGAGUUUGUUUUGAUUACCGAACGAAUUGUUUUAAUGAAAUAUUUUAGAAUACCACAUAUUUUAGAUUUGAUGUCAAACAAAUUAUUUUCACUUAAAUAAAUUCAGAACGAGCUAAUUUAGACAAAAAAAAACAUCACCCAAAUGAUCCUACAUCCUAUAUCUAUUUCCUUUUGCUUUUCUAAGUUACAAAACCAAGCAUCCUUUUUCUUUUGGCUUUGAAAAAGGAGGCAAAUACAAAGAGGAGGAAGAAGAAGAUCAAGAUCAAAGUCACCAUCUUAACAGAAGGAGAAAAAAGAAGACAGAGUCGCUUUGAGAGUUGGAAUGUAUAGUAGUAAUUGACAGAUGCUCUUCUUGGUGUUUAAGAAAUGAGUGUUACUGUUCGAAAGUCCGGAAUGCACGAUCAUUUCGGCCUCCUAUGAUGGCAUCAUCAAUCUCACCCGAAAUUUUUCUAACGGCGACAUCACUAAAUGUGGUGUCCAUCGAAGGGAUUCUUCGUUAUAAAAAGAAAGGAGUGUUACUAUCGUGAUGGAUGAAUGUUGUCCAGCUUGUGUGUAUAAAGGUAGAGCUGUUGUUUGGGAUGGCUAUGAUGCUUCAUAUUGACUAUCGUUGGCACCCAGUUACUGCUCUUUAGUACUCCUUUUGAAAUCAUGUUCUCAUUUCUUUUCUGUUUUUGCCCAUGACAUUGCAUCUUUCCCUUUUUACCACUUUUACUCUGUAUACAAACACAUCCAACAAACUAGAUGAUUGCUACUAACUUCCCACUUUAAAUUAUACAAACAAAACGAGAUAAUCAUAGGACUUUGGGGAAAAGCUAUGAUUUCUGUACAAGCAAAUGUGAGAACAGAGAGGGGCAAGGAUUGAAGUCAACAAAAGUGGGGUUCAUAUUUCAAUCAUUUUCUUCAACCCCCCUUCCCUCUCUGCAUAAAAAUACAGUGAAGAGAGGGAGUUAGUCAAGGAUUACAUCUAACCAUAUUUGACAAACAAGACCAUUACCGAUUUCUUACAUCACACUCAAUCAUCUCAUGUUCAUGUAUAGAAGCAGUUGCUCCCCAGUUUCAAAUGUUCCUCGAUGAACCUAUCUGCGUGGGACGGGUACUUAUGUCGAAUGUAUGUCCUCAGGCACUUCUGAUACGAGAAGUCUAUCCACGCACCAUCAGUUCUCACAACAAACAGGCACCUCGUUCGUUUGAACUGGGGAUGGCAAUCUACCUGCAAUACAAAAGAGAUUGAUGAGAUUGUCACAACUUUCUCGCAAUCCAAUGCAACAUCAGCGUUGAACGUCACAUGCACUCAGUACAUCAAAUGUUUGAAGCAUACAAUACAAUAGGAGCAGUUAAGUUCCAUAGGGGUCGCUGAGGGUCGUAUGGAGAAUUAAAGAGAUGAUUCUAUAUGUUAAAGGUAAAAGAAGGAUGCUCCUAGUCAAAAGCUUUCAUCCACCAGUACAGCAGUGUGGCCCAAAAAAAACCCCCCAGUAACUUUCAGGCGCAGGUGCAUGUGAAGAAAACCAACAAAGCCACAUUAGGACAUGUAUCUAUCAAUUACUGUCCAGUGCCUGUCAACGGUUUCGAAAAGGGGGGUGGGGGUAAAAUAAUGAGAACUGGCAUCUACUAAAAGCGGGAGACAGCAAUCAAAACAAAGUCAAGCCAGAAGAAUUAAACCCAGUUAUCAACUACAGUUUCAUGAUCUAUGAUACGAUUUCUCACAAAAGCCUGAUGUUUGUUAAACAUCUAUAUCAGCUAAACAAAGUCUCCCACCCUCAAGCUACAUUCUGAUUUCUGAUGCCACAAGUUGUUAGAUUCAUCUAAAUCGAGAGAGCAUGCUGUUAGAUUCAUCAAGACACCAGUACAUGCGUAAAGAAAAGUAUAGAUUCAUAAUAACACUGACAAGUGUCAGCUCUGAGACGUGAGUACAAGCUAGGAUUCCCUCCAAGCCGCCAAGCCCAAUACAAGAAGAGAAAGAGAUGGUAAAGCCCACCAGUGUAACAGUCAUCUCACUUUGAGCAUGGAAAUAACCGGCCCACAAAUAAGGUGGAGAAAAUCGUCAAUUAAAAGCAUGAUAAUGAUAAAACCAACCUAGAUGCAACAUACAACACAAGCUAUGAUCUGUCUGAACGAACUCUAUAGGCAGUACUUAGAGACUGUUAGCUGUAAUGUUCUUGCUCCUACUAAUGACGAAAGUACCACCAAACAACCGAAGGUAUCUAACAAGAACUCAAUGGCGUUUAUAGUAGUUCUCUAGUUGUUCACUUGUCUAUGCAUUUCAGGUCAUUCUGCUAUCUAUCAUUUGCUUCUACACGCACCACACCUAAUCUCCAUGCCCAUGGAUACCUAAUGUUGACUCUUGUUACGAACGUAAGCUUCACAUCUAUGGGCAUUUGACCACAUCAUUCUCGCAGCAAUUCUAUACAAAAAAAACUAUUCUAUAGUAUCCAGGACCAAACAACAAGAAAACUUUGGAGAUAUUUCAUCAACUGUCAUAGCCACUCUGAACCAUAUAGACGGAUGCAUUGACAAAUAAUGCAGGGGAAAAUAAUGAAAGGAAAUAAGUGCAACGAGAAGACAUUGGAGAGCGGGAACUGUGUGAAAUUGACAAAGAACUCUGGAGUCCUUCAUACACUAAAGGAUAUCCCAUUUAUGUAGUUCUACAUAGUGCACGGCAAACCUCUUUGCAAUAGACCAGUGGUGCAGUAUCUUUCAUUUUGCAUUCAAAAGCGAAGAGUAUAGGCACAAUCAAAAUAGGCGCAUUCCCUUUGCAGAGAAUUUUAUAAUUUGUUGAACAAGCUAAGUUACUAGACCAUCGAACUUAUGAUUCAAAGAACGAAGCAACAAAAACUUACCAUUAUAGAAUCGAGCCCGCAUCCAAUUUUGUCUUCUGAGUUGGGGUGAUAAGUGAGAAGCUUCUGCACCACAGCUUUGGCAUCUUCAGCUUCUAGCCGCGCUCCAUUGCAAUAUCUGAAAGCCAAACAACAUUGCAACCGGAAACUAAUUAACCCUUGGGAUCCAUUACAUGAAACAAACAGACCUUUUACUUAAAAGCGAAACUACAGAAGCCAUAAGAUGCAAAUGCAGACAAUUAGGCAACUUGACACUCAUUUUUACACUGUCAACGGCUGUGGAAUUUACCAAAAAUGAAGAUGGAGAGAACUUUGUCUUAUAAUGAAUGAAACGACCUUCCAACAAAUUCUCCAAGCUGCAAUCAGCGGCGCCGCUACUAGUUGUCGGUUUCCACCACACUGUUUGAUGCAUUUUUAUUGAAAUAAAAAGAAAGGAUGAAGGCCAGAGAUAUAUACCUAUCAGAGUGAAGAAUUCUUUUUACAAGAAGAAUGGUAGGCUUGACGUCUCUUAGAAUCUCAUCCUCCUUGUCUCUCCAUUUCCUGUAAUCAGGAUCCUUGACGUUGAACCAUUUGGCCCGUUUCUUAGCUCUGGGUGCGGCUGUGAUCUUAUCAGGAACAGAGAUAUUAGGGAGUGGCUGAGUGGAGUCAGAGGGAGUGGAGCACAACGUUCGCCGUAGUGGAGGCGGGAGAGCAGCAGCAGCGAGGCGGUGGUAAUGGAGACGAAGUCGCAGAAUCGGAGUGCCCCUGAGGAGUAGCGAUGCGGCCAUUUGUGGCCUUGGCCUCUCUUCACAGUGGAGGGCAAUCCAAAUCAAACUACUAGAGUGGUAAGGUGGGCACAAUCACUUGGCCAACUUACACUUUUGGUACCUCAAGUUCAGAAUCAUUGUUCUUCGGUCAUUUCUCUUCUGAUAAAAUCUUGUUUUUGCAAUGUAUGGGAUUAUUGUGCAAGCUGCAACCAUAAAGGUGUCAACUUCGAAUUCGGAUCAUGGAACUCAAUUUAUUCAUCCAAUCAAACAACUCGAAAUAAAUCUUAGUCUUUCAUUGUUUAAUCUUUGAAAUUUGUAGCGGUAAAGAUGGAAAUUUAUCCCUCUCCUCGUUCGACCUCCCAUGUAACCCGUCGGACCUUCGUCGUUGUUGGUCUUCAAACUUCCGUUUGUCGAACCUUCGUAAUCGUGGGCACGACUUGCAGGCUGGCACGUCGUGUUUUUGCUUAAGGCCAUUAGAUUUGUAGGCAGGGUCUGCUUGCCCCCUUUGCAGCUCAGUCCAAAAUUUAAUUUUGAGUGUGUCUACUUCAUUUAACUUCUAUUCGAACUAUAUUUUAAUCCGUUGAUCUCAUAAUUAAUCCGUCUAUCAUGGGGAUACCUAUAAUCUAAAAGAAUACUCAAAUAAAGCCCAUCAAAUGGUCAAAAAUAGCCAAUUUGAAAGAUAUUUAACUAGAUUGUGGCACUAAUCGGACAAAUACUACGUAAAUAUCAUCGAAUCAAUCACUGAUGCCAUUUAAGUAGGGGAUAAGAUCACUAUGUUUCCAUGUGACAUCACAAACCAACUCAUCUUCUCGUAUGGGAUCGCCGAAAGCGACAAGCUGGUCAAAUAGCGCCUUGCCCGGUUGCAGAUACUGAUGAGCCGGGUUCGCGCCGCGAGCGAUGCUAUGAAGAGAUUCACGAAGCUGACAAAUCUGAAUCCUCGAGCCAAAGAUUCCCCAGAAGCAAGGGUCGUUCUGCGCGAGCGAUGCUAUUAUUCACUCUUGUGUAUACAUACAUACUCUGAAGAUAACAGAGAGUUGCUAUUUCUAAGAGUCAUCAGUAUACCAGAUUACCCAAAUAUCAGUAGCUGCAUACAAUAUGGGUUUGAACUUUGAACCGGUCAACGAAAAGUCAUCGGCCAGCCGCCGGAUAGUCGCCGGCGACAGAGGGCUGUUUUAAAUUUAAAAUUUAAAAUACCCCACAUUAAUUCAUUAGAAAGAUUGUAAAAUAUAAAAUUAAUCUAACGGCCUACAAUAAUCCUUGAAGUUCUUGAGUCUGUGGACUUCUUAAAAUAAAUGCGCUCCCAACUGUUCCGUUCAAAAAGAUUAAUACGGAAAAAGCAGUAAUAAAUACUUUUCCUAAAAGAAGGGGUAAAAAACAAAAAACAGAAGAAAAAAAAAAAGCAAAUAAGAAAUGAAAAGCUGAAAUGGAAUGAAGUUUGAGAUCCGGCUCUGAACAUCACGAAGAAGGAGGACCAACCAAACAUUUCUCUCGCUCUUCUGAUGAGGAAGAAGCACGACCAGAGCAGCAACCGGAGCUUCCAUAGCCUCACUGCAGUGGUGGUCAUGGUAAAUAUAUAGAAGGUUCCGACGCUCUGCAAUCUACUUUUUGAUGGGCCAGUCUAGUUCCACGGCUGCCGUCGUCAGCCGCCGGGAUUCUAACUUCAGCCACCGCUUCAAAUUCAAACCAUCCUUCUCCUCCACCUCUCCUCCACCGAUGAAGGGCGAAGAGGCUAGUGAUUUCGUGGUCUUCGAAGAGCCAGACUAUAUCUCGGAUCUGCCUGAUGAGUGCUUGGCUUGCGUUUUCCAAUCACUUAGCUCCGCUGACCGAAAGCGAUCCUCCCAGGUCUGCCGCCGGUGGCUCACGAUAGAAGGCCAGAGCCGUCACCGUCUCUCGCUCUACGCGCAGGCCGAUCUCCUCCCGCUGAUACCGACCUUGUUUAGUCGCUUCGACUCGGUCACCAAACUCGCUCUGAAAUGCGAGCGUAGAUCCACAAGCAUCGGUGACGAAGCGCUCACGAUGAUCUCGCUUCGAUGUAGGAACCUGACGCGUCUCAAGCUCCGGUCUUGUCGCGAGAUCACCGACGCUGGCCUGGUAGCUUUACGGAGCUUUACAAUGGACAGUGUUUUGGGCCGCUUAUCAUUGACUCAAAGAAUCUGAGGACUUUGAAGCUUUUUAGAUGCUCUGGCGAUUGGGAUAAGGUUCUACAGGUGAUUCCAGAUCGGGUUUCCGCUUUGGUGGAGAUCCAUCUGGAGCGGCUCCAGGUUAGCGACGCCGGGCUGACGGCGUUGUCUAAUUGUAUCAGUCUAGAGAUAUUGCACCUGGUUAAGACCCCAGAGUGCACGAAUUAUGGCUUGAUAUUAGUUGCAGAGCAAUGCAAGCUCUUGAGAAAGCUUCAUAUUGAUGGAUGGAAGGCCAACCGGAUCGGAGAUGAUGGACUGAUAUCUGUUGCUAAAAAUUGCCCCAACCUGCAGGAAUUGGUUCUUAUUGGAGUCAAUCCCACCAAGAUUAGUAUAGAGAUAUUAGCUUCAAACUGCCAAAACUUAGAGCGACUGGCUUUGUGUGGCAGCGAUACUGUUGGUGAUGCAGAAAUAUCUUGCAUUGCAGCAAAAUGCAUAGCAUUGAAAAAGCUUUGCAUCAAAAGCUGCCAUGUUUCGGAUGAAGGAAUGAGAGCUCUAGCAAAUGGAUGCCCCAAUCUGGUGAAAGUGAAGGUAAAGAAAUGCAGAGGCGUAACUUGUGAUGGCGCAGAUUGGUUAAGAUCAAGUAGAGAAUCACUAGCGGUGAACUUGGAUAGCGGUGAAGCAGAACAGCAAGAUGCAAACGGUAGCGAUGGUGGUGGGGGGCAGGAAAAUGGUGUUGAAUAUCCUCUCGUCCCUAACCAAAUUCCUCAAGCACCUUCCAUCGGUAAUGCAUCAGGUAGAACUGCAAGAUCAACUUCUUUCAAGGCAAGGAUGUUGAGUGGAAGGAGUUUAGUGGCUUGCACUUUGAGAAGAUGGUCAAGUGGCAAUGGCACUUCUCGGGGCUAAGGAAGGAGGCUUGAGAUUAAAGCUUCACAACAUAAUCAGCAGCUCCUUGAACUGUUUGCUUUUCUCCCCUUUUUGUAUUGUGUUAUCUGAUUUUGUGUUUUUGUUUAUGUAAGCUGAAAUCCGAUACUGUGUGUUGUUUAUUGCUUUCGUAUUAUCAAUUGAAUAUUUACUGCGAAAAACAAGUGACAGGAGGAACUAGUUGGUGAUACGCUUCACCUAACUCUGUGUUGCUUGUGCAGUAAGUUUCUCAACCAAUCAAAAGUGUGGAUCUUUUUAUGGUUUUACUUUCCCUGUGUAUGGCAAUGCAUCGUCGGAAGUUGGAAAUCAUCCGUUGUGCUGGCUUCAGAGCUUUCAGCUAUCGAUUCUCCUUUGCUGUUCUGUUCUGUACGAGUCAAUAAAUUUUCAGUGAAUCAUAAGUAUACUGAUCGAUUCGGAUGAAGUUACUGUCCUCACCUUGAAUGAAGUUUGAUUACAUUGCCAUGAGUAGCAACUAGCAACAAACAUCUCCCGACUCGGUUUACUUUGAUCCAUUGGCGGGAGCCAGAAGUCCGGGGCGAGCUCUGUUUACUUUCGAAGUUCGAAAAGUCGAGCCGCGGUUGGUUUGUGUAGUAUUUAUUUAUGUUCAAAGUUCAAACAGCUGGGGUUAGCAGAAUCUCGUGUUUUCUUCCUCAUACUUUUCCAUGCUUUCUAGAAAGCAAAAGAGAAAAAGAGACUUAACUAAAAAAGGGACUGGAACAGUGCUGACAGAACAAUGAAACCUUUUUUUCUCUUUUGCCAAGCCACGAUAUGGUGAUGUGGUGAAAGCAAAACCAAACUACACCAACGUUACAAGACCAAAAAUACUAAACUUCCAAUGAAUUAGGAUGAAACCCCACACAGCCAUCAAUGUCAAUUCAAAAAGGUUACUAGCAGAGAUGUCAAAACAACUGUAUCUUGUAAGUGUAGAGCUCCCCCUGAAAGAUGACAACAAACUCUAAAAUUUGACAAGUUCCUGACUCCAUCGCCCAUAUUUGAUUAAUUUUUUUGUAUGUAUGGAGUAGGGGUAACGCUUCAAUACAUGCAUUCCACCCCACCAGACCCGUUGCACCUCUCUUCUUGGAGAGAGUAGCACAAAUAAAAAAGUGAUCUUUAAACACGGCGACCUUGGAGCCGUUUAAGAAUCAGGAACUGAAGGUGAGCGAGAGGGGAAUUAUUUUGUUAACUAAACACGAGCUGUACUAGUUUUCACGAAUUUUCUGAAGUUGUAUCUCUCUAUCAUUCACGUGCAAAUGAUUUAUAUAUAUGUGAGUUUGUAUUCUCAUAGUAACUCUUGAGUAAUACUUGUUUAAUUUUAUCGGGUUUGUGUGUUCAGUCAACGAUUAUUUAUUGCAUCAUAAUUCUCUUAUCAAACCACAUCAUAAGUUGAACUAGUGAUUUAAAUGGAGUCCGUUAUAGGAUGGGGUGGCCAGUGGGACAAAUGCAAUAUCAAACGAUCCUCCCAAUCCAUCCAAUGGAAAUGCAGUUCGGCUUGGGUGCAGAUUAAGCAUCUGUCAGCACACGUUGAUGACUUAAUCUAACGGUCAAGGACGGAUUGAAGAGAACGAACAGGUAGGGGAAAAUAUCGGGGGUCAUUCCUUUUAAAUGCACGUUCAUUCUUUCUGUCCAUUCUCAUACAGAAUCGUAUUCCAUUGACAAGAGAAAGACUACACCGACUCCAAAUUUUUUUAAUUAUAUAAAGAACUCUUCGAUAGACACCACACUUAGUGAUAUCACCAUCAGGUAAACACUGAAGCUAACAAUCGUUAGCUCGCGUGAGACCGGUGAUGCCAUAUCACAAGGACGCCAAAACUUAUUGAUGUCUAAUUUGUCAGAGUGAUCCGUAGCGUUUAGGAUGAGUUGGAGAUGUGAAUUAUUGAGCAAAGGGGAAGGACCAUGAGGCAGCUGGGGGGAGUGGGGAGGAGGCAAAAAGUUUGGUAGGGACACCAUCAGCAUCAAGAAGCUGUAUGAGGACACACCCUAAAACAACAAAGGGACGGGUCCUUAUACCAAGUUGAGGGGAAGUUGUCUGGCUCAGUAAUGACAAUACCCAAUUCCAUAACUCUCCCCUAAAUAUCAUCAUAUUCUUAGUAGUGAGAAAUUAUGGAUGGCAAGUUGGAAGCGAAAAAUGUCGUGAAAUCUUAAUCGUAAGAUUCGAUAUUUUGUUAUAAUAGCAAAUAUUUAAACAUUAACCUAACAAAAAUAUAUAUAAAGUUAUUAGCUGUUGAAUUAGGUUCAUUUUUGAAAGUCAAGAUUUGAAAAUAAGAGUGACAGACCAUUUUUGAGUAGCCAUUUGAAGAAUAAAAUGCACUAAUUUGAUAUUAUUAAUGUUAUUUUAAUUUUCAUUUAUUACUAAAAAUCUAUCAAUAAGACAAAACAAAAACCUAAGAUGUUUUACUUAGAAAGAAAAAUCGCAAAAAAAAUAAAUGAUUUUUAUAAAAUUUUAAGAUUUCUUUUAUCUAAUUUUACCAACCAUCAAAUUUGAAAAAAAUCAGAAUCAUUAAACACCAAUUUUAAUCGUAAAACCAUAUUUAAAAUAAAAAUCACGAUUUUGACUAUCUUGAUCUGUUUAUCUUUUCCUCCUAUAAAUUCUCUGCCGAACGAGUUCUAGUCAGCCCUUUUUCCUUCUUCCCCGCCUCUCUCUCUCUCUCUCUCUCAUAUUAUUGCUGUUGGAAAAUGGAAGGUGGAUUUCCACUGCUUAACUGUUUUCUGCAGUACACAUUGAGGAGUUUGUGUUCAUCUUCAUCAGAUUCCAACUCAUCCAAAUGGGUAUAUGCUGUGUUCUGGAGAAUAUUGCCCAGGAAUUAUCCACCUCCUAAGUAAGAAAACAUGACUUGGGAUGUUAAGCUGCAUUAUUUGUCUUUUCUUUUUUAUGUUUUUUGUUUGGUUUCUUCAGGUGGGAUCAUCGUGGAACAGCUCUUGAUCGCUCCAAAGGAAACAAAAGAAACUGGUAAUCUUUCUGCAAAAGGACACUUGUUUUGACUUACAGGUUCAAGUGCAGAGUUUGCAGAGUUUCCAUAAUUGGUUUGUGUGUUGUCCAGGAUGCUAGUCUGGGAAGAUGGCUUCUGUGAUUUCUUGGAAUGUGAGAGGCAAGGAAAUGGAUACAAGUUUGGAGCUGAUGUGUUCUUCAAAUUGUCUCAUGAAGUAUAUAGUUAUGGAGAAGGGUGAGUGUGCAUGACUAAACCAUAACUUGCAUGAAUGUAGUAUUCAGAGAUAUGUUGUAUUCUAUUCUAAGUAGUAAGUAUGGCUGCAGAUUAUUAGGGAAAGUUGCAGCAGAGAGGAGUCACAAAUGGGUUUUCAGUGAAUCAACCAAUGAGCCUGAUCCAAAUCCCACCUCCUCCUGGAAUAUGGCACUUGAACCUGUAAGUAAGAAUCAUAAUCAUAAUUUUUGGAUGUUUUGUCGGGAUAUAUUUGUUAAUGAAUACUAUAAAACCUAUCAGAAGCCUCUUCCAACAAUUCGAAUUAUUGGGAUACAACGAUUCUUGACAAUAUCUAUAUCUUAGAUCGUGUGGUGAUCUCAAUCUAACAUGAGAUAUUUCCACAGCAACCAAGAGCUUGGGAAAGCCAGUUCCACUCAGGCAUUCAGGUAGGCUACUUGUAAGUGAAGUAACCCAAACCAGUUUUCUUUUCGGUUGGUUACUGACUCUUCAUUUCCUGAUUCAACAGACAAUUGCUAUCAUUUCAGUCACAGAAGGCAUCAUUCAACUGGGCUCAUUUCACAAGGUAUCAUCAUCAUCAAUUAAUCAAUCUUUAUGGAAACAUCCUUAACUUUGUAUGUUUUCGUCAAGACCAGAUUGUGGAAGACACAAAUCUGGUGAUCAACAUUCAGAGAAAAUUCAGCUAUCUGCAGAGCAUACCUGGAUCAUUUUCCACUCAAAGAACAAACAUACAGAUCCAACACACAAACGUUGACAGGAAAGAAUCGGCAGCCGAAAAGAGACAGACGAUCGGGAUGAAGAGAUCGUUUGAUCGAAGAACGGAUGAUGAGGAUUUCCCUUUCAAGUCCAUCAACUUAGGAUGGAACAGCCCACAAUGUGGAAGUGGCCCUGAGCAUUUCAUCUUCUCAAUACCGCCUCUCUUGCCCACCAUGUCUUUUAGCUGUAGGCCAAAGCUCCAUUAUUCUCAUGACCGUACUGGAGAUGUAGGAAACUGCUGCAGCAAUGGCAUACCUAGCAACACAAUCAAGUCUGAAGAUGAGGGUAACUAAUUAGAACCUUAAUAUUUAUGUUGGUGCGUAUAUAUGGCUUCUACUUGAUUUACUGCUGUUAAUGAAUAAGCUACCAGUUUCUUUCUGCAGUUAUAUGUGGAAUUACCAUUCGAUGGACUAGGAAAUGUUGUCUUGUUCACACAUACUGCGAAGGAAACUUCAUUACUAAUUUUCUAGCUAAUUGGGCACACUCUGCUCCAUUUGGUUUACAUUUUCUUGAUUCAAUACACUCAUCUGACUCAUAUUUGAUUAUGGUACAAAACUUUGAUUAUUGCUAAGAACUAGAUUAUUUUAAGCGCUACUAUGUUAGGGUCCUAGUUAGAGAUGGGAUUCAGAAUUGAAAGUAGUACGUAACCAAAUUUAAAAUAUUAUUAGAACGAAAUAAAAAAUUUCCUAAUUUCUAAUUGAAUUUAUCACGCACGGCACCGAAAAAAAGAGAACACGUACCCGGGAAUCACCCUCUAGAUUCGUCCCUAAUCACAGUUUGACCCUACACAAUUGAAGAAGAUAAUCAAUCCGUAGGCGGUGACAGUUUUUCCACCACCACUGCUGAUCUUACAUUGACCCUAAUGUUCAAAUUCACUGUUUUGCAAACUAUGGCUUUGACCCUACAUGAAAUUGAACAGUUGGAUAGUUGGAUCGAAUUCUGAGUGCUUUCUCAUCCGGAUGAAAAAAUUAAAUUACAAAGUUAUUUUGAAAAGCAAACUUUUCUAUCAUCAUCUAAAUUUCAUCCAACAUUUUAUUUGCCGUUUAAAACAAGCUUAUAUAUGAUAACAAAAGAUAGUGAUAGAAGGCUAGAAGUAAAGAGUUUAGAUUUAUGUAUUUGGAGAAUUACAAAGGUAACAUUCAAGUAGAAGAAUGUCCCAAGGCCAGCCAAUAAUAGAUACUGCAUUUGGGGGUCACUAAUAUCCCAAGCCUGGCAUUUUACAUACUAUCCAUAUGAAGCGUGAGAAUAAAUAAUCAUACAGUCUUGCUAUUCAAGUCCAAUGAUACAUCCAUCCAUGUACGGGGUCCGUUAUUUACAUAAACCAGUUAUCUGAAUAAAAACCAUAUUCAUCUUCACCAGCUUUGCUCCCCGAUCACUGAGAAUUCAAAUGCAGAGCAGCAAGAGAAGAAACCAAGAGGUAAAGCAGUGAGAGAGAGCAUCAAGCACCGCCACAACAAAUGCCAUCUCCUCUUCGAUCAAACUUCGAAACUUGUUUGCAGUUUAUGCAUUGCUCCUCCUUCCAAGCCCAAGAUUAAAGCGAG
rnacentral:lncRNA from 1 species